UUAACAAAAACAUGUCCUUUUGAUUAUUAUUUAAGGUCUGAUCUGCCCAAUGAUGAAAAUUUUAAAUGGCCGCGAUAUUUUGAUCGUGCGAAGGUAGCAUAAUCAUUAGUUUCUUAAUUAGAAACUGGAAUGAAAGAUUGGACGAAAAUUUUACUGUCUCUAUUUUAUUAUUUUAAUUUUAUUUUUUAGUUAAAAAGCUAAAAUUUUUUUGUAAGACGAGAAGACCCUAUAGAGUUUAAUAUUUUACAUUUUUAAUUUUAUUGUAGUAAAAAAUUAUUAGAAAUAAUAAAUAUUUAGUUGGGGUGACAGGAGAAUUGAUGUAACUUCUUCUAUAUUAAAUAUUAAUUUAUAGAUUAUUGACUUAAAUUUUUAGUUAAAAGACUAAAUUACCUUAGGGAUAACAGCGUUAUUUUUCUAGAGAGUUCAUAUCGAAAGAAAAGAUUGCGACCUCGAUGUUGGAUUAAAGUUAAAAUUUGGUGUAGAAGCUAUAAUUUUUAGUCUGUUCGACUAUUAAAACUUUACAUGAUCUGAGUU
rnacentral:rRNA from 1 species